rnacentral:rRNA from 1 species
UACGUAGGGGCAAGCGUUGGUCCGGAUUUAUUGGGCGUAAAGAGCGUGUAGGCGGCCAGACAAGUCUGCUGUGAAAACUCGAGGCUCAAACCUCGAGCUGUCGGUGGAAACUGUCUGGCUAGAGUCCGGAAGAGGAGAGUGGAAUUCCUGGUGUAGCGGUGAAAUGCGCAGAUAUCAGGAAGAACACCUAUGGCGAAGGCAGCUCUCUGGGACGGUACUGACGCUGAGACGCGAAAGCGUGGGGAGCGAACAGG